UACGUAGGGUGCAAGCCGUUGUCCGGAAUUAUUGGGCGUAAAGAGCUCGUAGGCGGUUUGUCGCGUCUGCUGUGAAAACCCGAGGCUCAACCUCGGGCCUGCAGUGGGUACGGGCAGACUAGAGUGCGGUAGGGGAGAUUGGAAUUCCCGGUGUAGCGGUGAAAUGCGCAGAUAUCGGGAGGAACACCGGUGGCGAAGGCGGUUCUCUGGGCCUUACCUGACACUGAGGAGCGAAAGCGUGGGGAGCGAACAGG
rnacentral:rRNA from 1 species